CGCUGAUAAUACAAUUUCUUCAUCACCUUUACUAGUUGACUUCUUUGCUUCUUGCAUUUCCUGAUGAAUGGAAGCAGACUGCAAUUAUUAGCAGGCAGCAUACUUGAAGUAUCAAAUUAACCUUUUCUGAUGGAAUUACAAGCUUGAAAGUGCACAAUUUUGUACAUCAUUUUCUCUGAAGAAGGUAGAUGCUAAAAAAGAUGUCUAGAAAUGAAAAUGUCCGAGGAAAAGUGAAGGACAAGCUCACACAUAAAUUCAACUACCAAACAAAUAAAAAAAAAAUACAUAUUUGAAGAG